CCUACGGGGUGCUGCAGUGAGGAAUAUUGGUCAAUGGACGAGAGUCUGAACCAGCCAAGUAGCGUGAAGGAUGACUGCCCUAUGGGUUGUAAACUUCUUUUAUAUGGGAAUAAAAUGUUCCACGUGUGGGAUUUUGUAUGUACCAUAUGAAUAAGGAUCGGCUAACUCCGUGCCAGCAGCCGCGGUAAUACGGAGGAUCCGAGCGUUAUCCGGAUUUAUUGGGUUUAAAGGGAGCGUAGGUGGAUUGUUAAGUCAGUUGCGAAAGUUUGCGGCUCAACCGUAAAAUUGCAGUUGAAACUGGCAGUCUUGAGUACAGUAGAGGUGGGCGGAAUUCGUGGUGUAGCGGUGAAAUGCUUAGAUAUCACGAAGAACUCCGAUUGCGAAGGCAGCUCACUGGACUGCAACUGACACUGAGGCUCGAAAGUGUGGGUAUCAAACAGGAUUAGAUACCCCGGUAGUC
rnacentral:rRNA from 1 species